UUCUGUUUCUUAUCUUCCUCAAACUCCCUUCUGAAUCCUCCAAAAAAAAUACAAAAAAGCUCCCUUCUGAAAAUCUCAUAGUUCCAAUCUCAGCUCUCAGAAAUCAAAGACUAACCAUAACCCCAUCUCAAAAUCUAAACCCAUGUAUUAUAUCUAACAGAAAACCCCUCUUUUAUAACCCUGGAUUUGACCAAAAACAAACCCUCGUCUCACUCAUUUUCUGUACGAGAGGGAGAUUGAUAUCUUGUAUAUCCAUACGACUCUCAAAUCAAGCUUGAUUUCAAAACCUAAUACUAACUGCAUCUUUGAAUCAAAACCCAUCUCAGAAUCAGAAUUUUAUAUUCCCUAAUUAUGUAACCUAGAUUUAGUUAAUGUUUCUCCUAAAAUCAAAGCAAGCCCUCGUUUUAUUUUGACAGAGUGAGAGUACUAGAAGAAGAUUUCACCAGGGAAGGUGUGGGUGAUUUUGUUGGUGGUAGCAGGUGUUGGUGGUGUGGUUUAUGCUACCAAUUUGGGGAAUUAGUUGGUGGUGGUGCAUGUGUUUGUGAUGAAACCCAUGGAUUUGUUACGAGAAUGGGUGGUGAUGCAGGUUCAAAAGUGAUGGGCUUGACGACAACGAUUUUUAUUGCUUAUCAGUUUGCGAUUGUUCAAUCAUUGGAUCCUAAGUUUUGGACAUACAGACCAUUUAUCGAACAAAUGGUCCGAGCUGCUGCUGCUCACUUCCUUCUCCAUACUACCAUAAGAUGAUGAAAAAUAUGAACAAAGAAUCUUUGUGGCAUCUGUCAAUUCGGGGAGCAAUAUACUGUCGGUGUUCCUGUGUUAAUGAUAAUGAGUGUGUAGAUUGACUGUUCCUCGCAUUCCGGGAAAUGAGCCCUGAAGAACAUGCCAAGACAGUAGCUCGCACCAUCAUGAUUGGAGAGAAGGCAUUUGAAACUUACACAAAUUCCAAAAGAAUAGUAAAGUUGGUGAACGAUGUUGGGUCCGUGGUCAAUAACUAUUUAAAGGUACAGUACAGUUUUCAUAAGGUUAGCUUGCUUCCUUUCUUGUUCUCCUCCCUAGAUGCAGGAAUUAUCUCAAAGUCUUCAGUUUCUAAGAAUCACCAGUUUUGCUAUCUUAACAUUACUCUUAGGAAAAUGUUAACUUGUAUCAAUGAACUGAAAAAUCUAUGUACAUGCAUGUUGUUCUUUUUCCAAACUACAAUGUAUCUGUAGAUGAAAUAAGAGAGGCAAGUAGUAAAAGCAACAUGAAGAGAGGCAAGUAGUACAAGCAACAUGAAGUUUUCACUAAAUGGUUGUCUCAUAAUUGAAACACUAGAUGGGGCUAUUGUUGAAAUGAGAGAGGAAAUUGGAGAAGAUAACUUCUUCCUAUUUGGUGACACGACUGAUGAAGUUCUGAAAUCGCGCAAUGAUAGAGACGGGCUGGAGGAAGCUUGGGUUCUAUUCAACAGAGCAGCGGGUACUCUUUCUCAUAAACAAUUGAUAUACUCUAGCAAGGCAGUACCUAUGUUGCUGCAUCUUUUUGCUGCUGCUCCAUUUGACAUAAGAAAGGAAGUAGCAUAUGCACUUCGUAACCUUAGUGUCUCUCCCGUUUAAAGAAUGGCUAACCUAAAAUUAUCCUGGAUCACUUGAUAUGACUUGUUAGCUAAUGAUGCAUUCCAGGAUUCGCAUAUUUGGUCAGAUCUGCAGAUAUUGAAGCUGCAAGACUAGGCCUUCAGUUCUUAGAGCCGGAGUGAGCAAAAGAGGAGUACAAACUCAUUUCCAAAUAUCAUUCAUUUUUAUGUGUCACUGUAUUCAUAUGAUGACAAGAAACAAUGCAAGUCCUGGUGGUGGUGAUGCAUAUUCCAAGAUUUUCCCUAUCUGUACUCCAAAGACCCGUUGCAUCAGAACUUGCCGCUGAUACAUCUCUUCUGACUUGGCAGUUCAACUUAUCUCUUGCUUGUUCAUGCCUACUGUAAGACUGGUUGAUGCUGGUAAUAAUAAGGAUAGAUUGAUUGGUUACAUCCUUCCUGUCAUUGUGCCAUGUGCAGAAAAAGAAUCGAGGUACCUUGUUUGCUAAUUAUAAAUCCAUGCACCUGCGUACCGUCUAUGUUCGUUGUUUAAGUAUAGUAGAGAUCAUGAUACUUAAAUGCAGAUUCUUCAAUAAUGAAUAGGACAACUGUCAUUUGGUAAGCAAACACUUUAUCUUCAUGAACGUUAUUAAUUUCGUUGUGUGUGAUUAAUAUCGGAAAGCAAUAUUCUUGUAAGGAUGCUGUAAGGACCCUCAAUUUUAUGCGCAAUGGUCAUUUUGGUGUAAUGAUGUACAAAUAUAAUUAUGUUUAUGUAAUUAGAAAGAAACAAUGUUGAAUUAA